rnacentral:rRNA from 2 species
GUUGUAUGGUUAAGUGACUAAGCGUACACGGUGGAUGCCUUGGCAGUUGGAGGCGAUGAAGGACGUAUUAACUUGCGAUAAGCCUAGUCAAGCUAGUAAAAAGCACUUGAGACUAGGAUUUCCGAAUGGGGAAACCCACCUGCUUGCAGGUAUCGUUAACUGAAUACAUAGGUUAACGAGGCGAACGCGGAGAACUGAAACAUCUAAGUACCCGUAGGAAAAGAAAUCAACCGAGAUUCCGAAAGUAGCGGCGAGCGAAAUCGGAACAGCCCUUAAGCUUAUUAUGUGUUAAUGGAAGGCUCUGGAAAGUGCCACGAUACAGGGUGAUAGUCCCGUACAUGAAAAGACAUUUUAAGUGAAAUCGAGUAGGUCGGAGCACGUGAAACUUUGACUGAAUAUAGGUGGACCAUCAUCUAAGGCUAAAUACUCCCAACUGACCGAUAGUGAACCAGUACCGUGAGGGAAAGGCGAAAAGAACCCCUGUGAGGGGAGUGAAAUAGAACCUGAAACCGUGUACGUACAAGCAGUAGGAGCAGACUUGUUCUGUGACUGCGUACCUUUUGUAUAAUGGGUCAGCGACUUAUAUUUUGUAGCGAGGUUAACCGAUUAGGGUAGCCGUAGGGAAACCGAGUCUUAACUGGGCGAAUAGUUGCAAGGUAUAGACCCGAAACCCGGUGAUCUAGCCAUGGGCAGGUUGAAGGUUGAGUAACAUCAACUGGAGGACCGAACCCACUAACGUUGAAAAGUUAGGGGAUGACCUGUGGCUAGGAGUGAAAGGCUAAUCAAACCGGGAGAUAGCUGGUUCUCCCCGAAAUCUAUUUAGGUAGAGCCUCGGACGAAUACUUACGGGGGUAGAGCACUGUUAAGGCUAGGGGGUCAUCCCGACUUACCAACCCUUUGCAAACUCCGAAUACCGUAAAGUACUAUCCGGGAGACACACGGCGGGUGCUAACGUCCGUCGUGAAGAGGGAAACAACCCAGACCGCCAGCUAAGGUCCCAAAGUCAUAGUUAAGUGGGAAACGAUGUGGAAAGGCCCAGACAGCCAGGAGGUUGGCUUAGAAGCAGCCAUCCUUUAAAGAAAGCGUAAUAGCUCACUGGUCGAGUCGGUCUGCGCGGAAGAUGUAACGGGGCUAAACUAUGCACCGAAGCUGCGGAUUCAGAAUUUAUUCUGAGUGGUAGGGGAGCGUUCUGUAAGCCGUUGAAGGUGACCCGGGAGGGUUGCUGGAGGUAUCAGAAGUGCGAAUGCUGACAUGAGUAACGAUAAUGCGGGUGAAAAACCCGCACGCCGGAAGACCAAGGGUUCCUAUCCCAUGUUAAUCAGGGUAGGGUAAGUCGACCCCUAAGGCGAGGCCGAAAGGCGUAGUCGAUGGGAAACGGAUUAAUAUUUCCGUACUUGGUAUAAUUGCGAUGGGGGGACGGAGAAGGCUAAGCAAGCAUGGCGAUGGUUGUCCAUGUGAAAGUGAGUAGG